CUGAGUGUUCUGUAGUUUGUACAUUCGCCCUUUUCCUUGGUUCUUUAUAGAAAAACAAAGCUGCUCAGCGGCUUUUGCUCUUCGUUUUCUGUCUUGUUCAUUUUCCCGGUCGCUUAUUUGCCCCUUUCUUCCCAGGCUUCCUGGGGCGCUUGCUGUGAGCCACCUUGGCUCGGAAGCUGGAGACAUCGGCGUAGCCCUCACCUCAUUUGGGGCCUUUCUUCUUUCCACCAAAACCAAACUUCUGGGUUUUGUACCGUCGUUUGGCAUUGGGCCCUUUACUCAUCUGCUGGCCCUUAGCUCUUGCCUUUGCACCGCUUCUGAUCCUCCUCAAGGAAAUCCAGUUUAUCAGAGAAGCCUUUCUGGCAUUUCCCGAAGGAAUACCGAUGACAUGUGACUGGACAUCCGAGAAGAGGACAUUAGAGAUACUCUCCAGGACACGGAAAGAAGGGGACAUUAGAGAUACUCUCCAGGACAUGGAAAGAAGAGGACAUUAGAGAUACUCUCCAGGACACAGAAAGAAGAGUCCUGGGACAAGUUCCCAUAACUGCUAGCAAUGGCUAAAAGAUUUGGGAAGGCAGAAUAUUUUUAAAUGAAAACUUAAGUUUAUAGUGAACUUACCCUUUCCUGCUGACUAGAGGGGUGGGCUCAUCAGAAGAACAGUUUGAGACAGAAGGACAGUCUACCAAGGGAAGUCACUUCAGCCUCGGGAUGGUUAGCCUUGUAAGCAGUUUAGAAUGGCAGCUACAGUAAGUAUCACAUUGGCAUUUGAGUUGAGGUUUCAAGAUUAUAAACCAAUCCUUUUUUCUUCCUUAUUCCGGCUCUUUGUCAUUUAAUUUAGAACAUCUUAGGUUUUUUUCUCAUCUAUGCCCAAUACAGUUAUUUUAAAAACGUUAUGAUAAUAGAAAUGACAGGAUGAUUGAGUGAAGCUGUGGAGAAAGGUGAAGUCUGUAGUCACAAGACAAGCAGCAUUUUUUAUCGAAACACUGGGAUGUGCUGUUUUCUUUGUGGAUAUUAGGUCCCUGACUAUUGUGAGAAUACUCAGGGUAUCUCUAAGUCUUCUGCAUGGGAAGUGAAUGGGCAUUUGAAGGUAGAAUAUCACCACAGUGGACAGUGAGAGUCUAGGGAGAAAUCAAGACUGCCCCAAAUAUGUUGGACUGAUUCUUAAUGGAGAAUACACUCAAGUGAAAAUUUCUGAGAUUCAUGAUUCACCAGGACUCCUAAGAACAAAACUGUUUAUUAGUAUUAUUUAAUUUUGCACAUGAGUAUUUUGGCUGAAUGUAGGUAAGUAUAGAUGUGCUUGUCUGGUGCCUACAGAGGUCCAAAGAGGGUGUCAGGCCCUCUGGAACUGAAGUUACAGAUAGUUAUGAACCAUAAUUCAGGAUCUGGGAACUGACCUGGAUCCUCUUCAAAAGCAACAAGUGGUUCUAACAGUUGAACCAUCUCUGUACCCCAUUUUUAAUUAUUAAAUUUGAAAAUUGUGUGAAAUAAAAAAAUAAACAUGCAAAUAGAGAGUAC
rnacentral:lncRNA from 1 species